rnacentral:piRNA from 1 species
GAUAAGGACCACUUUGCACUUGGCUG